GCAGAAACAACAUAAGAGAAAAGUUUCCUUAUAAUACUAGUAACAGCACAAAACGGCAGGUGCUGACUGCUCUCAGUUUCGACCGGAAGGGGAUGAGAGAAAACCCCAAGCAUGCUGUGUGGGUGAGUGGCAAUCCUCUCUGCAGUUGACUGAAACCACAGCAGAGCCUCUGCCAGGGCUGCACAGUGGGGACCAGCCGUGACUCUGUGGUUCCCUUCUGAUGAGAGAUCUAUCCACGUUGUCCAUCGCCCACCUGUGAACGGCUCUCCACAUGGCAACAGUCACAAUCGCCAACUGUAACUGCCAACUCUGUAACCAGCGACCAUUUCAGGCGUGUAAACACGAGAGUAUCUGGUCA